GAUUGUCUUGUUUGGAUUGUCCAGUGAGCCCUGAUCCUCAGAAAGCAAUGUUUAAAAACUCCAGCUUUUUGAUGUGUGAAUGUACGGAAAACAAAGAAUAACUUUGGACUCUGCUUGGGAAGGCCAGCUGACUUCUUUAGUUGUCAAAUGCAGGAAAAAAGUGGAGGCUGUCUAUUUUCUACAGUCUUUAGAGCAUCCCGCUCUAAUAGCUGAACCCCGAUGCAGGAGGUAUCUGCCUCACUACACAGAACCACAUGUUGUAUUCCUAUGUAGGACUUGUAUAGCAGAAGUGAAAUGGCUCAUAAUCUUUACAUAAACUUAUUUGCUGAAG
ensembl:lncRNA